rfam:Picea glauca, whole genome shotgun sequence.
UGCAACAUAGCGUUAAUGCACUGAAUCCCAUUAGAACUAUGCACUUAAGCAUGCUCAGGCUAGAGUAGUACUGGGAUGGGCCCAAGACGUCCUAGUGUUUUAC